rnacentral:rRNA from 1 species
GACGAACGCUGGCGGCGUGCCUAAUACAUGCAAGUUGAGCGCUGAAGGUUGGUACUUGUACCAACUGGAUGAGCAGCGAACGGGUGAGUAACGCGUGGGGAAUCUGCCUUUGAGCGGGGGACAACAUUUGGAAACGAAUGCUAAUACCGCAUAAAAACUUUAAACACAAGUUUUAAGUUUGAAAGAUGCAAUUGCAUCACUCAAAGAUGAUCCCGCGUUGUAUUAGCUAGUUGGUGAGGUAAAGGCUCACCAAGGCGAUGAUACAUAGCCGACCUGAGAGGGUGAUCGGCCCCAUUGGGACUGGGACACGGCCCAAACUCCUACGGGAGGCAGCAGGAGGGAAUCUUCGGCAAUGGACGAAAGUCUGACCGAGCAACGCCGCGUGAGUGAAGAAGGGUUUCGGAUCGUAAAACUCGGUUGGUAGAGAAGAACGUUGGUGAGAGUGGAAAGCUCAUCAAGUGACGGUAACUACACAGAAAGGGACGGCUAACUACGUG